UUAUUCUAGGUAUGGUCUAUGGUUAAGUACUAGGUUGUUCACAUGAUUCAGGCAGAUGUCACGCUACGAUGUUCUUCGGUCUUUUACUUCAAUUUCAGACCAUCCUUGAGGAGUUUGACACUCAAGUUGGACUUAGAAUCUUAUAUAAUGUUAUGAGUAUGUUACAACUCUUAUCAAACGAAGGUGAUACAGUCAACGUGUAUGUCAUGUGUGCGUCGAUCUGAAACGUUACUUACAGUCCCCUCCCUUUUUUUUAAGGUGC